rnacentral:rRNA from 1 species
CCAUGCCGUAAACGGUGGGCGCUAGGUGUAGGGGUCUUCCACGACUUCUGUGCCGUAGCUAACGCAUUAAGCGCCCCGCCUGGGGAGUACGGCCGCAAGGCUAAAACUCAAAGGAAUUGACGGGGGCCCGCACAAGCGGCGGAGCAUGUGGAUUAAUUCGAUGCAACGCGAAGAACCUUACCUGGGCUUGACAUAUGCAGGAUCGGGCUAGAGAUAGUCUUUCCCUUGUGGUCUGUAUACAGGUGGUGCAUGGUUGU